GCCUGGCCGCGCCGCGAUGACCCUGCAGCAACCUGGACCCGCUGACAGAGGCCGAAUCCUUCUCGCUGCUGGGUGGAGGGCGCAGCUGGCUCCUGAACUGAGGCCCAGUACGGGAUCCCGUUCUGUCUGCAAUAGCUGGCGCACUGGCCCGAGUAUUUCAUUGUCGUCGAGGCACCCGGCGAGGAGCUAGUGGGUUACAUAGUGGGUAAAGCAGAAGGCUCUAUGGCUAGGGAAGAAUGGCAUGGACAUGUUACUGCUCUCUCUCUUGCACCAGAAUUCCAACGGCUGGGUUUGGCUGCUAAACUGGUGGAACUUCUGGAAGAAAUUUCAGAAAAAAUGGAUGGAUUUUUCGUUGAUCUCUUUGUGAGGGUGUCAAACCAGGUUGCAGUAAAUAUGUAUAAGCAACUAGGCUACAGUGUGUACCAAACAGUACU